CCCUGGGUUAGUCGGGACCUAAGCUGAGGCCGAAAGGCGUAGGUGAUGGACAACAGGUUGAUAUUCCUGUACUACCGAUAACCGUUUGAGAGAAGGGAUGACACAGUAGGAUAAGCUAAGCACACUGUUGGUUAUGUGUGCCCAAGCAUUGAGGCAGUCAAAGUAGGCAAAUCCGCUUUGAUAAUGCUGGGAUGUGAUGGGGAGCGAAAUUUAGUAGCGAAGUAGCUGAUUUCACACUGUCAAGAAAAGUCUCUAUCGAGGUUAAAGGUACCCGUACCGCAAACCGACACAGGUGGGUGAGGAGAGUAUCCUAAGGCCAGCGAGAGAACUGUUGUUAAGGAACUCGGCAAAAUGACCCCGUAACUUAGGGAUAAGGGGUGCCACCAUCAGGUGGCCGCAGAGAAUAGGCCCAAGCGACUGUUUACCAAAAACAUAGGUUUCUGCUAAGUCGCAAGACGAUGUAUAGGAGCUGACGCCUGCCCGGUGCUGGAAGGUUAAGGGGAUCUGUUAGAGCAAUCGAAGCAGUGAACUUAAGCCCCAGUAAACGGCGGCCGUAACUAUAACGGUCCUAAGGUAGCGAAAUUCCUUGUCGGGUAAGUUCCGACCCGCACGAAAGGCGUAACGAUUUGGGCACUGUCUCAACAACAGACUCGGUGAAAUUGUAAUUCCGGUGAAGAUGCCGGAUACCUGCGACAGGACGGAAAGACCCCAUGGAGCUUUACUGUAGCUUGACAUUGGGUCUUGGUACUACAUGUACAGGAUAGGUGGGAGGCUUUGAAACCAGGACGCCAGUUUUGGCGGAGCCAUCCUUGGGAUACCACCCUUGUAGUACUGGGACUCUAACCAUAGGCCAUGAAUCUGGUCUUGGGACACUGUCAGGUGGGCAGUUUGACUGGGGCGGUCGCCUCCCAAAAGGUAACGGAGGCGCUCAAAGGUUCUCUCAGUACGGUCGGAAAUCGUACGUAGAGUGUAAAGGCAAAAGAGAGCUUGAUUGCAAGACAUACAGGUCGAGCAAGGAUGAAAAUCGGACUUAGUGAUCCGGUGGUUCUGCGUGGAAGGGCCAUCGCUCAACGGAUAAAAGCUACCCUGGGGAUAACAGGCUUAUCUCCCCCAAGAGUCCACAUCGACGGGGAGGUUUGGCACCUCGAUGUCGGCUCAUCACAUCCUGGGGCUGUAGUAGGUCCCAAGGGUUGGGCUGUUCGCCCAUUAAAGUGGUACGCGAGCUGGGUUCAGAACGUCGUGAGACAGUUCGGUCCCUAUCCGUCGCAGGCGUAGGAAAUUUGAGAAGACCUGUCCUUAGUACGAGAGGACCGGGAUGGACGUACCUCUGGUGUACCAGUUGUCCUGCCAAGGGCAUGGCUGGGUAGCUAUGUACGGAAUGGAUAAGCGCUGAAAGCAUCUAAGCGCGAAGCCAACUUCAAGAUAAGAUUUCCCACCGCAAGGGUAAGACCCCAGAAAGACUAUCUGGUUGAUAGGUCGAAGGUGUAAGUGCAGCAAUGUAUUUAGCUUAUCGAUACUAAUAGGUCGAGGACUUGACCAA
rnacentral:rRNA from 1 species